GACAGAGGUGCCAAGCGUUAGGCGGAAUCACUGGGCUUAAAGCGUGUGUAGGCGGAUCGUUAAGUACCUUGUGAAAUCCCACGGCUCAACCGUGGAACGGCUGGGUAUACUGGCGGUCUUGAGCCACCUAGGGGCGAGCGGAACAAACGGUGGAGCGGUGAAAUGCGUAGAUAUCGUUUGGAACGCCAACGGUGAAAACAGCUCGCUGGGGGGUGUGCUGACGCUGAGACACGAAAGCCAGGGGAGCGAACGGG
rnacentral:rRNA from 1 species